rnacentral:rRNA from 1 species
GAUGAACGCUGGCGGCGUGCCUAAUACAUGCAAGUCGAGCGAACGGACGAGAAGCUUGCUUCUCUGAUGUUAGCGGCGGACGGGUGAGUAACACGUGGAUAACCUACCUAUAAGACUGGGAUAACUUCGGGAAACCGGAGCUAAUACCGGAUAAUAUUUUGAACCGCAUGGUUCAAAAGUGAAAGACGGUCUUGCUGUCACUUAUAGAUGGAUCCGCGCUGCAUUAGCUAGUUGGUAAGGUAACGGCUUACCAAGGCAACGAUGCAUAGCCGACCUGAGAGGGUGAUCGGCCACACUGGAACUGAGACACGGUCCAGACUCCUACGGGAGGCAGCAGUAGGGAAUCUUCCGCAAUGGGCGAAAGCCUGACGGAGCAACGCCGCGUGAGUGAUGAAGGUCUUCGGAUCGUAAAACUCUGUUAUUAGGGAAGAACAUAUGUGUAAGUAACUGUGCACAUCUUGACGGUACCUAAUCAGAAAGCCACGGCUAACUACGUGCCAGCAGCCGCGGUAAUACGUAGGUGGCAAGCGUUAUCCGGAAUUAUUGGGCGUAAAGCGCGCGUAGGCGGUUUUUUAAGUCUGAUGUGAAAGCCCACGGCUCAACCGUGGAGGGUCAUUGGAAACUGGAGAACUUGAGUGCAGAAGAGGAAAGUGGAAUUCCAUGUGUAGCGGUGAAAUGCGCAGAGAUAUGGAGGAACACCAGUGGCGAAGGCGACUUUCUGGUCUGUAACUGACGCUGAUGUGCGAAAGCGUGGGGAUCAAACAGGAUUAGAUACCCUGGUAGUCCACGCCGUAAACGAUGAGUGCUAGGUGUUAGGGGGUUUCCGCCCCUUAGUGCUGCAGCUAACGCAUUAAGCACUCCGCCUGGGGAGUACGACCGCAAGGUUGAAACUCAAAGGAAUUGACGGGGACCCGCACAAGCGGUGGAGCAUGUGGUUUAAUUCGAAGCAACGCGAAGAACCUUACCAAAUCUUGACAUCCUUUGACAACUCUAGAGAUAGAGCCUUCCCCUUCGGGGGACAAAGUGACAGGUGGUGCAUGGUUGUCGUCAGCUCGUGUCGUGAGAUGUUGGGUUAAGUCCCGCAACGAGCGCAACCCUUAAGCUUAGUUGCCAUCAUUAAGUUGGGCACUCUAAGUUGACUGCCGGUGACAAACCGGAGGAAGGUGGGGAUGACGUCAAAUCAUCAUGCCCCUUAUGAUUUGGGCUACACACGUGCUACAAUGGACAAUACAAAGGGCAGCGAAACCGCGAGGUCAAGCAAAUCCCAUAAAGUUGUUCUCAGUUCGGAUUGUAGUCUGCAACUCGACUACAUGAAGCUGGAAUCGCUAGUAAUCGUAGAUCAGCAUGCUACGGUGAAUACGUUCCCGGGUCU